ACCUGGCUGGCUCAGUUGGUAAGAGCAUGUGACUCUUGAUCUUGAGGUUGUGAGUUAGAGCCCCACGUUGGGUC
rfam:Felis catus isolate Cinnamon breed Abyssinian chromosome F1, whole genome shotgun sequence.